GCAGCAGCGCCGCCCAGCUCAGCCCGGGGGCAGGGACAGAGCAGAGGGAAAAGCCGGGGCAGUUCUGUCACAAGAAGCAACAGUGCACGCCCAGAAAAAUAGCUCAAGGCAAGGUCCCCUUUCAUACUGAAGCAUUCAGUGAAUAUGACCAGCAGAGACCCCUCUUAAUGAAUCUGCAGGACCAUCAAAAGACUUCCAGGAGGAGAAGUAUUGCAACUUGCUGGAAUUCCAGAUUGUGUCAAAUAUGACACUUUGCAUUUGUUCAGCAGUUUCAUUGUGCUGCAAGAGGGAGCUACCCUGGGUCAGACAUGACAUUGGAGAUGGAGGCUUCUGAUAGCUGACUAAGAGGCCAACCUGGUGAUCCCAGUGCCUUUGGAGAUGGCUGAGGUGGACUCCUUUUGCAUCCAGUGUGGAUUCACAUCACUGGUCAUCUGAAAGCUAAGUUGGGGGCCAGGGCCCGGAGAUGGGAUGAUAGCAAGAGGGAGAGCAUGUAAACCUGAUAUGAACGGAGGAGACCAGAGGAGCACAGCAGCGAGGUGGUCUGCAGCAUUGAAAUUGCUACUCCAACAUGACAGACACCCUUGCAGAAAGAGGUCACAGUUGAGCAGUUUCAUGUGGAACCUACCUCGGCAAUGCAACACUUUUGGACACUACAUCGGCAUGUGCCUUUCCGUUUUGUUUUUCCUCUUCUCCCCUGGGAAGGUUGGUCAUGAUUCAGCUUUUCAGGGGUGGUGUUUUAUUUUGUUUAUG